ensembl:lncRNA
GCUCCGCCAAUAGGGGGAAGAGGGUGUGUCACAUGCAAAUAACCCCGUGAAACCCAGCCCCUCCCCUAAGGCCAGACACAGCCCCUGCGCUAGGUCCCUGCAGAAAUGGGGAGGGGAUGAGAUAAAUAGCUGGGAGCUAGAGUUCGCUAGAGGGUCUAAGACUCAACUAAAUGUUUCCCGAUUUCUUGAGAAAGACGGUGGGGGUGGGGGGAGCUAAAACGUUCAUACCGAUCCACCAGGGCAGUGGUUAGGCUUUCUCUUUCUUACCCAGAAUCUUAGCUGGAAAGAAGACUGCAGUCCUGUAGCAGUUGACAGCCAAGGAUCGCAAAGAACUUUAUGCAUCGCUUAUCCUUGUUUUGCAAAAGACCAGUUACCUAAAGCUUCGGCAGCGGGUGGGGGAUAGAUGUCUAAGUACAUUUACACCAUUAGUCGGUUAGAGGGAAACAAAAGACUCAAAACCUGUGGGUUAGCGGUUUCCUCCUCCAUCUAAAGCCCCUUCUCGUCGUAGACUCUCAGCAACGAAAAUUCUUUUAUUUGUCCAGCUCGACAAGGCCAAAGAGACAGGUCGCUAGCGUACGAGGAUCCGUGAAGGCCUGCAGUUGGCAGAAUGAAUCUGUGGAGAUGAUUUACACGAAUGAUUUCACUGGGCCUAAGACCAGUCAGUACUACUCCGAAGGAGGAAUUAAGAAGAUGUGAUCCAAAAGGGGCUCUGCUUGAGCGCCGCUUCCCCUUCCACCCUCUCCAUCGCCCACCUCCACCAGGAAAAUUAUUCUUACCGAAGCUCAUUUUCCAAGGAACAAAUAUUCCAGCAAGAUCCUGAUUUCUGCCAGCUUUCUCUUCUAACUUCCCCUUCCAGAGUUUCCUGCAUUAAACCCUGUAGAAAGCAGAUUGCAAAGGAGAGGCCUACAGAUCUGGGUUUAUCAUUGUUUGGCCUGCAAAUGUUAGCCAGCACAGUUCUUUUUAACAUUGAAUUACUUAAAAACACUUGAUGUAGGAGAUUUUUGCCGCCACCCGCACCCCCACCCACCAACAAGUCUAGAUUUCUGGUGUCUCUUGAAAAUGGUUAGAUCUGGUUACACUGGAUGUGUACUGGUAUAUGGCCACCAUCUGCUGGAACCCAGCACCUGUUAUCUGCAUUUGGACAUGCAUUUUCAGGUUUACCAACGUCUCUGUCACUCUUCUGGGGUUCCAUUUUGCCACUUUAUACACAUUGUCUUCUUGACCUUUGUAAGGAUUUGCCAUCUCAGAACUUUCUCCGGCACUCAAAUUACUGAUCUACUGACUGAUCCUCUUAAUCAUAGAACAUGAGUUAAAAAGAAACAUGUCAUCUCUUGGCUAUAGCAGAAGUUGAGGAAAAGGAUCCAAUGUAAAGAAUAUCAUGAUAUGCAGUUGCCUGGGUGAUAGUACAUAAGGGAUGGAUUGCAAAGUGGCCUGAGGAAUCUUUUGCUGGUUGUGGAAAUGAUAUGUAUCUUGAUUGUGCUAAUACUUUCAUGGGUGUACAUAACUGUCAAAAUGCAAUAAACUGUACAGUUUUAUUAUGCAGUUAACUGUGUGUAAGUUACGUCUCAAAAUAGUGGAUUUUAAACAAAAACAGAAUAAUGGUUGUAUAAUAUUUUAACAUUUGUAUGUAUAACAAUCUGUUCAGUCAAAAUUCUAUAAUUGGAUAUUUGUGGGAAUACUUUUAGUGAAAAUAAAUAAUAUCAAAUAUGC